rnacentral:rRNA from 1 species
ACGGGGCCCGCACAAGCGGUGGAGCAUGUGGUUUAAUUCGAUGCAACGCGAAGAACCUUACCUGGGCUUGACAUCCCUGGAAUCCCCUGGAAACAGGGGAGUGCCCUUCGGGGAGCCAGGAGACAGGUGCUGCAUGGCUGUCGUCAGCUCGUGUCGUGAGAUGUUGGGUUAAGUCCCGCAACGAGCGCAACCCUUGUCUUUAAUUGCCAUCAUUCAGUUGGGCACUUUAAAGAGACUGCCGGUGUUAAACCGGAGGAAGGUGGGGAUGACGUCAAGUCAUCAUGCCCUUUAUGUCCUGGGCUACACACGUGCUACAAUGGCCGGUACAACGGGCUGCGAUACCGCGAGGUGGAGCGAAUCCCUAAAAGCCGGUCACAGUUCGGAUUGGAGUCUGCAACUCGACUCCAUGAAGGCGGAGUUGCUAGUAAUCGCGAAUCAGCAACGUCGCGGUGAAUACGUUCCCGGGCCUU